ACAGCUUGAGGUUUAUGGAUUUCGUGCAUGGUUUCAUGUCGCUGCUUGUGUUUGCAGCGGUUGCUCUGUUUGAUCAGAAUGUGGUUAGCUGCUUCUACCCUGCGCCGUCGAAGGAGUGUCAGGAGAUACUUACUGCUGUUCCGGUAGGGAUAGGAGUUGUUUGUAGUAUGUUGUUUGUUGUGUUCCCUACUAAGCGCCAUGGAAUCGGGUUUCCUCUCUCGACCAAUAAUUGAGAGUACUAUUGGUUUUACCUGUAAGAAAAUGAUGAAAUUUGUCAUUGUUGGAACUUUGUUCGUUGAUUUGUUCAUGUAAGUAUUACUUUCAAGAGCACUAAAGCAAAUGAUUUGCAUGCAAGAGAUGACACAAAAUUUGCUAAUUGACAUAUAACAAAGCAUUCGCUUGUGGACAAAACUCUGCCUAACUUUACACUGACUAGACACAGCAACGGAAGUACUUCUGAUGUCAUGAGGAUCAGAUAGUAUUAGAUUCCAGGGCAAUGAUAAAGCUGUAGAAAAGUGAAGGUAUUACCCUCAAAAAGGAAAUUAAACAAUUUCAUAACAAGUCAGUUUCAUGAACAAUAUGAACAAAAGGAGAUAUAAGCUUUCAUUUAACUUUGUUUCAAAACUAUCUAAGGAACUAAAUUGGUGGUUCCUACUGCCUCUACAGGAAACUUACUCGUGUAAAAGUUUACAUCGUCAGAAGACUCAGAGAGUCAUCAGAAUUCAUACACAUCAUGAAACCCGCAUGAACAUCACUUAGGAGUUGUGUAGGAGAACUCCCCACAUUUCCUUCUCUUCACAUUGAUAAUCAAAACCAAAAAAUGAUCUAACUAUUUCGUUAGGCAAAAACUUCUCAUUUCAUGAUUUAUGUAGUUACUAAUAUUCCCUGUCUCUUUCUUAAAAGUCACCUCAAUCUGAGUUCAUCAAAGUUCAAUAGUUCUUCCCUUCACACAAGAACUUCUACUGCUACUAAUGCCUAUAAAAAGAAGAUGCAAGUCUUACCAUGAGCCGUGGAAUUGGCUGUCGAUCAUGAAGGGCUCUCAACAUCAAGACGAACGUCUGCUUUUCGACGAUGAAUCUCUUCCGGAGACACUGCAGACGAGAAUAAUACACAAAGUCAUCGGCAAGACAUGUCAGACGACACAGGACUUGGCAAAGCACUUACCGACCGGAACAGUUCUCGUGUUCCAGCUUAUGUCGUCCACUGUCACGAGAGAAGGUAACUGCGACGACUCGGUGGCACUAUACUUGACUGCCACGCUCGUGGCAGUCUGCGGAUUAUCAUGUUUUCUUUUGUGCUUCACCG
rnacentral:lncRNA from 1 species